rnacentral:rRNA from 1 species
CCCUUAGAUGUUCUGGGCCGCACGCGCGCUACACUGAUGCAUUCAACGAGUCUAAAACCUGCUCUGAUAGGGGUGGGUAAUCUUUUGAAUGUGCAUCGUGAUUGGGAUAGAUGAUUGCAAUUUUUCAUCUUCAACGAGGAAUGCCUAGUAAACGCAAGUCAUCAGCUUGCAUUGAUUACGUCCCUGCCCUUUGUACACACCGCCCGUCGCUCCUACCGAUUGAAUGAUCCGAUGAAUAUCAUGGAUUGAGGAUGCAAGUAGGUUCGCCUAUCUUCAUCUUCUAGAAGUGAAGUAAAUCUUAUCAUUUAGAGGAAGGAGAAGUCGUAACA